GAUGAAGAACGUAGCGAAAUGCGAUAAGUAAUGUGAAUUGCAGAAUUCAGUGAAUCAUCGAAUCUUUGAACGCACAUUGCGCCCGCCAGUAUUCUGGCGGGCAUGCCUGUUCGAGCGUCAUUAUAACCCUCAGGCCCCCGGGCCUGGCGUUGGGGAUCGGCGGAGCCCCCCGUGGGCACACGCCGUCCCCCAAAUACAGUGGCGGUCCCGCCGCAGCUUCCAUCGCGUAGUAGCUAACACCUCGCGACUGGAGAGCGGCGCGGCCACGCCGUAAAACACCCAACUCUUCUGAAGUUGACCUCGAAUCAGGUAGGAAUACCCGCUGAACUUAAGCAUAUCAAUAAGCGGAGGA
rnacentral:misc_RNA from 1 species